rnacentral:rRNA from 1 species
AACGAACGCUGGCGGCAGGCCUAACACAUGCAAGUCGAACGCACCGCAAGGUGAGUGGCGCACGGGUGAGUAACACGUGGGAAUGUACCCUUUGGUUCGGAAUAACGUUUGGAAACGAACGCUAAUACCGGAUGAGCCCUGCGGGGGAAAGAUUUAUCGCCAAAGGAGCAGCCCGCGUCUGAUUAGCUAGUUGGUGGGGUAAAGGCCUACCAAGGCGACGAUCAGUAGCUGGUCUGAGAGGAUGAUCAGCCACACUGGGACUGAGACACGGCCCAGACUCCUACGGGAGGCAGCAGUGGGGAAUAUUGGACAAUGGGCGGAAGCCUGAUCCAGCCAUGCCGCGUGAGUGAUGAAGGCCUUCGGGUUGUAAAGCUCUUUCGCACGCGACGAUGAUGACGGUAGCGUGAGAAGAAGCCCCGGCUAACUUCGUGCCAGCAGCCGCAGUAAUAC